rnacentral:rRNA from 1 species
AUUGAACGCUGGCGGCAGGCCUAACACAUGCAAGUCGAGCGGAUGAAGGGAGCUUGCUCCUGGAUUCAGCGGCGGACGGGUGAGUAAUGCCUAGGAAUCUGCCUGGUAGUGGGGGAUAACGUCCGGAAACGGGCGCUAAUACCGCAUACGUCCUGAGGGAGAAAGUGGGGGAUCUUCGGACCUCACGCUAUCAGAUGAGCCUAGGUCGGAUUAGCUAGUUGGUGGGGUAAAGGCCUACCAAGGCGACGAUCCGUAACUGGUCUGAGAGGAUGAUCAGUCACACUGGAACGGAGACACGGUCCAGACUCCUACGGGAGGCAGCAGUGGGGAAUGUUGGACAAUGGGCGAAAGCCUGAUCCAGCCAUGCCGCGUGUGUGAAGAAGGUCUUCGGAUUGUAAAGCACUUUAAGUUGGGAGGAAGGGCAGUAAGUUAAUACCUUGCUGUUUUGACGUUACCAACAGAAUAAGCACCGGCUAACUUCGUG